rnacentral:lncRNA from 1 species
AAAACUCUUCUAACUUCACAAUGUGCUAUGUCCAGAGAUAUAACCAAAGGGUCCUGAUGGGGAAGAUCUGCAUCUUCUGGGCCAAAUGAUAUUAUUGUUUGUGCAUAUGCAGGCUUGGCAUAUUCAAAGCUUGUUGCCGCAUGGUUCACUUGCCUUACAUACGCCGUUCUUUACCUCUUCAAUCCCAUUCCUGAAGAUGAGCCCCCAGUGAUUGCAUUGAUGAUUCAUUUUGGUGGCGUUUCGAUUGCUUCCACCUUCAUGACUUGAGGAGGCUCGAUCAGGUUCUGAGCAAGUUGCUGCUGAUUCUGACCUUAUUGCCUAUUUUGCAAUCCUUGCAUUUGCUUCUGGUACAACAACGGAACUGUUCUGGUACAACAACGGAACUGUUCUGCACUCCUCUGUUGUAUGCAGAACUUCGAGUUGUCAAAUUGUCUGUUCGUUGACUAAUUGAAUUGUCUGUUGUCAUUCUGCUUAUUCUUAAAAUAAUUCUUGUUCUUGUUCCACUUCCACUGGUUAGGUUUUGUUUGAAUGUAAUUGACCUGCUUCUUGUCAUUUUUGAAGCGCUUCCAAGGCUUUUGAUUCUGCUGCUAGGCAACUUGUUGUUGUUGAGGUUGCUGAGAUGAGCUAGUUAUCAGUUGAGGUGUAUUUGCUACUACGACAGUUGCAUGUUCUGCG